rnacentral:rRNA from 1 species
CCUACGGGAGGCAGCAGUGGGGGAUAUUGCACAAUGGGCGAAAGCCUGAUGCAGCGACGCCGCGUGAGUGAAGAAGUAUUUCGGUAUGUAAAGCUCUAUCAGCAGGGAAGAAAGGCCUCGUAAGAGGAGAUGACGGUACCUGAGUAAGAAGCCCCGGCUAACUACGUGCCAGCAGCCGCGGUAAU